CGCACCUGUUUUCGGAGCAGAAUUUGGAGGGUUUGGAGUGCGAAUUUGGGAAUCAUUCCUUGACGAAACUCGUAGAGGACCUCGAAAACUAUUGGUAUCGACCGUACUAAAGCUCUCACUCAAGGCUUGAGCAUGGCUUGAGCGUAAGGAUAUUUAUUUAUAGCACCUUGCACUGGACUUCAGGGGUUCAAUGAAUGUAAAUCGUUCAAUGACUGGACGAGGUAAGUAGCUACUUAUGCAAGAGCCCAGAUACAUUAUUGAAUUAUGAGUGCUACUAAGUGACAAAUGAUUGAAAUUGAUUCUAUCAUAUGAUUUCUUAUUUUCUAAUUGAAUUUUUUUUUCCCUUUCUCAGG